AUGAGUCUUUCAUUUUCACUUGCACCAUUUCUUUCUAUCCUUCUCUUAUGGGGACUCCUGAUCAUAAGGAAGCUUAUUCUAGUUGAAAAGAUUGCUAGGACCCUUUGUGCCGUUUGAUUCCGUGAUCUUUCCAGCGUUGUUGGUGGUUAUCUAAAGACUAUUAAGCAAUGUCAAGAGCUAAUGCAUACGUUUGAUCAGGAUACACUAGGGUGGACUCGGGCCUUAGUGACAUAAAAGAAGCAAGAUUAGUUUAAAUAAUGUUAUGAACUCUUGUUUCCUUUGUUUAAAGACAAUGUAAUCCCUCUUUGUUUAUAAAUAAAACUGAACUUUAAUUAC
rnacentral:lncRNA from 1 species